GGGAUGACACAGUAGGAUAAGCUAAGCACACUGUUGGUUAUGUGUGCCCAAGCAUUGAGGCAGUCAAAGUAGGCAAAUCCGCUUUGAUAAUGCUGGGAUGUGAUGGGGAGCGAAAUUUAGUAGCGAAGUAGCUGAUUUCACACUGUCAAGAAAAGUCUCUAUCGAGGUUAAAGGUACCCGUACCGCAAACCGACACAGGUGGGUGAGGAGAGUAUCCUAAGGCCAGCGAGAGAACUGUUGUUAAGGAACUCGGCAAAAUGACCCCGUAACUUAGGGAUAAGGGGUGCCACCAUCAGGUGGCCGCAGAGAAUAGGCCCAAGCGACGGUUUACCAAAAACAUAGGUUUCUGCUAAGUCGCAAGACGAUGUAUAGGAGCUGACGCCUGCCCGGUGCUGGAAGGGUAAGGGGAUCUGUUAGAGUAAUCGAAGCAGUGAACUUAAGCCCCAGUAAACGGCGGCCGUAACUAUAACGGUCCUAAGGUAGCGAAAUUCCUUGUCGGGUAAGUUCCGACCCGCACGAAAGGCGUAACGAUUUGGGCACUGUCUCA
rnacentral:rRNA from 1 species